rnacentral:rRNA from 1 species
AUGCAAGUCGAGCGGAUGAAAGGAGCUUGCUCCUGGAUUCAGCGGCGGACGGGUGAGUAAUGCCUAGGAAUCUGCCUGGUAGUGGGGGACAACGUUUCGAAAGGAACGCUAAUACCGCAUACGUCCUACGGGAGAAAGCAGGGGACCUUCGGGCCUUGCGCUAUCAGAUGAGCCUAGGUCGGAUUAGCUAGUUGGUGAGGUAAUGGCUCACCAAGGCGACGAUCCGUAACUGGUCUGAGAGGAUGAUCAGUCACACUGGAACUGAGACACGGUCCAGACUCCUACGGGAGGCAGCAGUGGGGAAUAUUGGACAAUGGGCGAAAGCCUGAUCCAGCCAUGCCGCGUGUGUGAAGAAGGUCUUCGGAUUGUAAAGCACUUUAAGUUGGGAGGAAGGGUUGUAGAUUAAUACUCUGCAAUUUUGACGUUACCGACAGAAUAAGCACCGGCUAACUCUGUGCCAGCAGCCGCGGUAAUACAGAGGGUGCAAGCGUUAAUCGGAAUUACUGGGCGUAAAGCGCGCGUACGUGGUUUGUUAA